rnacentral:rRNA from 1 species
GUGGGGAAUCUUAGACAAUGGGGGAAACCCUGAUCUAGCCAUGCCGCGUGAGUGAUGAAGGCCUUAGGGUCGUAAAGCUCUUUCGCUGGGGAAGAUAAUGACUGUACCCAGUAAAGAAACCCCGGCUAACUCCGUGCCAGCAGCCGCGGUAAUACGGAGGGGGUUAGCGUUGUUCGGAAUUACUGGGCGUAAAGCGCGCGUAGGCGGAUUGGAAAGUUGGGGGUGAAAUCCCGGGGCUCAACCCCGGAAUUGCCUUCAAAACUCCCAGUCUUGAGGUCGAGAGAGGUGAGUGGAAUUCCGAGUGUAGAGGUGAAAUUCGUAGAUAUUCGGAGGAACACCAGUGGCGAAGGCGGCUCACUGGCUCGAUACUGACGCUGAGGUGCGAAAGCGUGGGGAGCAAACAGGAUUAGAUACCCUUGUAGUCC